GACGAACGCUGGCGGCGUGCUUAACACAUGCAAGUCGAGCGGUAAGGCCCUUUCGGGGUACGACGAGCGGCGAACGGGUGAGUAACACGUGGGUGACCUGCCCUCAGCUCUGGGAUAAGCCUGGGAAACCGGGUCUAAUACUGGAUAUGACUCCAUGACGCAUGUUGUGGGGUGGAAAGCCUUGUGCGGCUGAGGAUGGGCCCGCGGCCUAUCAGCUUGUUGGUGGGGUGAGGCCUACCAAGGCGACGACGGGUAGCCGGCCUGAGAGGGCGACCGGCCACACUGGGACUGAGACACGGCCCAGACUCCUACGGGAGGCAGCAGUGGGGAAUCUUGCGCAAUGGGCGAAAGCCUGACGCAGCGACGCCGCGUGAGGGAUGACGGCCU
rnacentral:rRNA from 1 species